rnacentral:lncRNA from 1 species
CGAACACCAUUGCACCUGCCUGCUCGAGUCGCUUUCAACUCAUGGCCAUGGAGUCCGCCUCAGCCUCUGUCUUCCACUCGGUUGCUCCUCUGCUGGCUACGCAGAGCCUUCACUAGCCAUGGCCGCGCCCUCUCUGGUACCGAGCUCGCCCAUACCGAGCUCCCUCAGCGUCCCGUCCAUGGUCCUCCUCCACUCGCCCUGGCCAUGCUUGCCUGCCGCGCCACACUGAGUUUCUGGAGUCUGGCACGGUGAACUGGGGAGAGAAGCAGCCAAGCAGCUCCCUCACGCCGCGGCUUCCUCCUUCAGCUCGGCGCUCAUCUCCCUCUCUGCUCGGACCGUGCCCAGCUCCGCGCGUCGCAGUUCGCCCCAGCUCGUUGUCCUGCCUCCCUUGCUCACUGCGUCGGCCACUCGCUGAUGCUCCAACUCAUCAGUCGUUGUUGUCCCAUCCGCGUCAGCACGCGACUCUGGUCGUGUUCAUCGAAUUCGCCAACGUUUUGUUGCCGAUUCGACUGUCGUCGCUUCGCGUGUUGUCGAGCCCGUCGAGCCUCGUUCUUCUCUGCUCGCUCUCGUCGAACACCGAAUUCCGGAUAUUAGACAAAAAUAAGCGAGACCCCUGUGUAUCGCUUAUCAAGUACUCGGUUGAAGACUUCAAUCUAAGAUCAUCGUCAUUCUGUGCGUCGUCAAGAAAUCCCAAGAGUCGGGUGAAGACGGAGCCAACAGCAUGGUGUUCACCAAGUGCGCGACAAAAAGCUCGAACCAGUCGUCAAUUAUCUCGACAACAACCACAUCCAAGACUCCACCGUCCAAUAAUUUUGUCUCAUCGCCCUUCAAAUCCGAGUCCUCGUCCAUAGGAUCGUCGUUGACCUCGCAACUUCAGCUCGAGUUAAUUAUGGUAAGUUGAUUUAUUAUUCCCGUCAACUAAAUAAAUGAUAGGAUUAAAUAGAAGAAUUGAUUGCGAUGAUUCUCUUGUUCAUUACUCGAUGUAGAGAUUAAGUUGAAUUUUAGGGUUGUGCGAUAAGUAUAUUGGUAGAUAUAUAUAUAAUACACAGGUUAACCGGUAAAUUAGUUUAGAAAGUUAAUAAAAGUUCUUCUAUCAAAUUUUAUAAGUAUUAGAUGUCCAAAAAUUGUGAAGUUAAAAGUUAUAAGUCGUUUAGUGUGUUCUCUAGACUAGGUCUGAUAAUUUAUGUGUUGGUCGAUCUCAUGCUUGGAAUGGAUGUUGAUUGCUACCUCGACUGUUUAGCUAGGUUGUAAGAACAUGAUUGUCGUAAGUAACAAUAUAUCGAUAACUAGUGUACGUAAUGUCUCGUCAUUAAAUAGGUUAUUUCUCUUUUGCGUAGCAUCGUAAUAUCUAGUGUUAUUGUUCUUUAUAUGCAUUCAUAUGCAUAAUGCAUUUCAUUCAGGACGAUAAAUAAUCACGUGAUGUGGAAGAAAAACCAAGUUGACUCCAAACGCGGGCUAAUCUGUAAGCUGAAGCUGAAGAAUCAACCUGAAGAUGGUUAAAUCAAGCAAGUGCUCGGUCGACGAAUACUCGUCAAGCGGAUGUCACCUAACAACACUAACCUAGUGUUACUCAGGCAAGCCCCGGUGCAUUUGCCACCUUCCUUGAGGUUUUUAAAAUCUUUCUCACUUGAUUGCUGCAUUAGGUGAUAGGAGUUGAUUGAUAAAACAAUUCAUGCAUUACCUUCCUUGAAUUUGAUUACCUUCCUUGAUCACCCGUUUUACAAAAGAUUUUGAUGCUUAGCCUUGCUUUAGAAAACAAAAUGUUUUGUUUUUACAAACUAUGAUGUGGCAAAGGUGGGUGGGAUGUUUUCGAAAAUAAAACUUGAUGGUGGAUCUGUCAAAGGCCUUGAUGGAUUCAACAUCGGAAAAGAUGUACCUCUGCCAGGUACCAAACUUUGGGUUUGAAAUAAUUAAGCUGAGACCGGGCGGGUGACUUGCACGGGAAAGGAGUCUCGGUGUAGUGUCUCCGUCUGAGUCGAUUAAGGACCUUGUCGAUGUAGGCCUGCUGACCGAGGACCCUUUAACUGGUCACAUGCCUCGUCAUGGGUAAGCUUUGCCUCGGGCGGACUAAGGCCAGAAUAAGAUAACACGAAAUGGGCGUGGAGCGGUGGCGAGAGUAGCGUGUACCCUCCGUGGCAAGAGGCUGGACGGUGGUGUAUCUGUGCUCUCGGUUUGCGUGAACCUGAUCUGGUCUUAAGAACCCCGGUGGCGGGUUGACAUAUGCAAGGGUUAAGUGCUACAUAUGUCGUGUGAUUGGAGAUCCUCAGCUGAGUAUAAUCGAUUCGGAUCGCCGUACCUUCGCGGUUAUGAAGACUUGGUCACUGACUUACACGUAGCAAUCCACUAAAGAUGAUGGUUUUGUUAAGAAAUUGGCUAGUGCAGGACAAGUGAUUGAACUAGGGUAGAAAGAACUCUAGCUGCAGGUAAUUUUACUUAACCUGACAAUAAAAUUGGAUUUUAAGGAUCCACUCGUAGUAAGCUUUUCUGCAAAACAGAGUCUUUGAUUCUUGAUAAGCCAUACCUUGACUCCCAUAUAACCAGCAUACCCUUGAGAGUCUUUUCUUUAGUCGGGUAAGACUUGCUGAGUAAUUCCAUACUCAGGGUUUUAUUCCCUGUUGUUUUUCAGGUUCUAACUUUGUGCUGUUGUUGAUGGUGUUAAGUGCCGGUGGGCUCGGCCUUCUUAUAAGUCUAAGUAACCCUUCUAUACUUCUUAUUGAGGAUGAUCCCUUAAGCUAGCAUAUAUUUCAAACUUAUACUUUUGUAAUCACUCCGAUAAAAUAAUAUAAAAUUUUUGUAACUUGUAAAAUUUGGUAGUAAGAUUUCCGCUGCAAAAAUGUUGGUGUGUGUGAUUUGUAUUACUUAAUCCCGCGGUUCUGGUUGAAAGUGGUUUAUCCGAUGUCCUUGGCGCAAUCGGACAGAUCCUGUUGAGUUAUCUGGUGCACAUGCAUGGCUGUCUGAGGUCUUUGGGACAAGGACAGGUGCAUGUGGGCCCAAUAACUUGGAGGUUCUGCCACAGGCUGGUAUCGGAGCUGGAUUAAGUAUAUACGGUCACAUACUUAUUUUUAAAACAAAAGUUUUGGUUUUAGAAAACCUAUUUUCAACUAAACACAUUGUUUGGUUUUGAAAAACCGUUUAAAAAAAACUAUAAUGCUAGCGACAUCCUCUCUUAAGCCCUAAUUUAAGGAUUAUCAGGUGGCUUAGUUGAAAACCACAACCGGGGGUAUUGCAUACAUGUGUAUUGUUAUUUUUGAGGCCAUUCAGUUUUGAAUGGAUCGACGCUCAAGGUAAGGUGAGAUGUGAGAGCAUGACCGAACAAACGUCGGUCUAGGGGAGUGCUUAAUUGUGGCGCUUGAUUAUAUACAUGUUCCACAUAGUAUAUAUGAAGGCUGUGAUGUGGAGUAUUUACUUUUCCGGGAAUUCAGUACCCCAUGGAUGUGUAUGGGUAUACAGACAUGGGAAUACUGAGAAGUGUAUUGUACUUGUAACGACGCACCUACGCUCAGGUGAGAAAGUAAGUUACCAUAAUGAGUUGCCCUAUGGUUAAAGUGUGGCAACGGCGCCUAUGCGUGGCUCGGCGCUUAAUGAUGAGCUGGCCUCCAUAUAGAAAUAUAUGGAGUAUAAACUGUGAUAACUGUCAUGUGUGAAUUGCAUCAUUGGGAAUUGGGCUGUGAUGGAAUUUUCUGCAGGUACACUAACCUCGAAAACGUAUGUGUAGCUGACGACUAGCAAAAUACCGUGAGAGUCGUUAGUAUGCCACCGAUAUAGAACGUUAUUGCCACAGUGUGUUGGCAAAAACUCGUGAGGACGUAUAAGACGAGCAUGCAUCAUGAUUGUUGCAUCAUGUUUGUCACCUAUACACCCAAAAUGCUUCUCUCAUCCUUAUUCCAGUAACCAUUGAUUAUAAAUAAUGUGGUGUAAUAUUGUAUUAUGAACCUCGAUGAAAUAGGUGUCCUCCAUUCUUUAGGUGACCUCUUAGGGUGCUUUAUAUGUGCUCUUGUGCUUAAUGUGUCGAUAGAAGGUUAGAGACUUGUUUGCCUAAACCCAAAACUAGGUUCUGUUCUUAUUUAGUGAACCAUGACCCCAGAGUUGAAUGCUCCAUUAUCACUCCAUGACUAAACCCAUGCAAAUAAAUGCGUAGAUAAUUUCUUUGUUGGACAUAAAUUGUGCCUAGGCUUAAACAAGAAUCUCGAGUCAUGUUUCCUUCUAAAACCAUUCCCUUGUUUAUUGGUGCAAGCUGAUGUACCUUAACUAGUUCGCCUGUUCUUAAGGAUCGCCAUGUUGAAUUAUCAACCCAACCUAGGAAAAGUAUGUCCGACCAUUUUCUUGAAUUUUAUGCCUUUGAUUUCCCCCAUACCUAUCGAAGGCAUACCAACUUAAUCUUAUGAUUGUUUCCCCUCUAUAUCUAAUCAGAUACUAAUCCUUGACCCUUGUACUCUCUGCGAUGGGCAUAGAGAUAUGCUUGGGGCUGAAUUAACAGUCUCCCAUCGUACUCCUUUCAUCAAGUUUAUGUUAUGGCCAUAUCUUGCUCAUUUCCUUGGGCCAUAAUCUAUUUGGCUCUCUACUUGUAACCAUUCUUACAGGUGGAGUAUCUCUUGUAUAUUGUCACCCUUGCUCAAUCUAUUGGUGUGGCGCAAGAUUUCUUAUUGGUUACGUCUGGUAAUGGUGUUAUGACUAAAACCGAUGAUGCCACGACGAAACCGAGGGCCUCCUGUGAAUGUACACACAUGGUUGUGCUGCUUGGCACGCGUUGGUAUCACGAUUAGUAGUUGUAAUCCAUUAUGAGACUAUAUCAAUGUGUUAUCUUGACCCAAUCUAUUUUUGCUACGUGAGAUUCAUUAUUGGUGCUAGUUCGGUGAUGGUGUCAUGACUAAGGACUUAUGGUGCCGCAGCGAAACUGAGAGCCCCUUGUGAAUGUACACGCAAGGUUAUGCUGCUUGGCGCAUGCUGGUAUCGAUGUCUCUAGUCAUGAUCCAUUGUGGAACUACACUGAUGUGUGAUCUUUCGUGGAGUCCUCCCUUGAAACAAUUUCUAUGUUGUUUGUCAAGUGAUCAAGCAACAUCUAUUAUUUCUGUUGGAUCAAAGAGCAUACCACUUUCAUGUGUGGUUUCUUUUCUUUUGAUCUUGGUAGUGACUACUUAUACAAGUUCCCUUUACAUCCUUUGUGUAAAGGUGAAGCCUUGGAGCUUUUUAGUGUUGAGAAACAACUGAUUAGCUCUCAAAAUGGUGAUCUGUUUCCCCUGCUGCUGAGAUGCAGGAGUUUGUUCAUUCGCUCUCUUAUUUAAUCCAUGUACUUCUGAACCAAGUCAUUUCAUCUCACAUGAAGAAACGGAUGAACAACAUGACCAAAUGGAUUUCUACCCAAGUGCAUAAUCUCCUGUUAGCCAAUGUGAACUCUCAACCCUUGGCUUACCAAUGGUACUGAGAGGAUCUGCUCAAUGUCAAAAGUAGUUCAAUAAGUUGGUUUUGACUAACUUGUAACUGCCCAAUGAACGAAGGUUGAGUUUAGAGAUCGUUUUGUCGAGUUGUCUAAACUCACUUUGGUUCAACCCGUCCAAAGAAAGUUCUUACAAGGAUCAAGUUAAAAUCGACUGAUAACACCUAGUCAUCGCUCUAGUCGUGUCUCGAUCGCCUCACGUAUGGUUUUCCGACGUGUGUGACCAGUCGAGCCAUGAUUAGUGCUGAAUAAAAUGGACUGGUUACAAAGUCCACAUUUACAGAUCCCUCCGUUGGUGAUUUUCUCGAAUCUAUAUCACCUUUCAGGGACUUGGAUUUUCUGGCUAGCCACGGGUCAACUGUGAUGUUAUUCGACAUUCACACCCGUCUCGUGUGCUAUGAACUCACUGUGACCACUUGUUGGUAAACCUCUUUCUGUGUGUUUUACCCAAGAUGGUGCAUCUGGUUCUGUUUGGGCAAAAUCGCGUAUUCACCGCUUGCUCAACAGACUCAGAUAGUACAGUGUCAUCAAAGAAAGCAAACUGCACACAUGGAACCUUAUGUGUUUUCAUGGCAGACAUCGUCUCUAUUGAUGGACAUCUUUAAAUUAGCUUGUGGCGAUACAUGCUAUGUCCACUAGAGAAACGACAUCCUGAGGCACUCGCCUUCGCUCAGAACUGUCUCACGAUUAUCGCUGAUAUGGAUGUGGGUUACAUGCUUCUCUACUCUUAGAAGUCUUUCAUUCCGAAUCUCGGGACGAGAUUCUUUUAAGGGGGGGCUGUAACACCCCAGGUGUUUAUAUUCCGCUCGACAACGAGUAUGAACUUAAGCACGCAAUAUCAGUGGAUAAAACGGAUUUUAAAUUUUAAACAUCUUCGCCUAUCGCGAUUUUAAUAUCGCAUAUGUUUCCUCUGUCGCGAGUGCGACGUCGUUUUUGUUUUUAAUCGUCCGGGCUCUUCCUAAAAUUUUCGUGAUAUUCGGAACAUAGCUGUUUCGAAGAUCGGUGCGUCCGAUGAUUAUUUAAAAUUCGUCGCUCGCGCAAAUACGAAUUCGGAAGCCUGAACCACUCGGAUGAUUUUUAUUCCGAGCAAAUUAAUUUGAGCUCGACGACUAAAAUUAUUCGGGGCAAAAUAAUUAGGAUCGCGCGUCGUCUGAGUGAAAUCGUGCGCGUGAAUAUGAUCUAAUUUAUCCUUCAGCGCGGUAUUUUGACGAUGAAAUCGCGUAUACAUUAGCGGAUCUGGUUUCGACUAAUUUCGGUCGAACCACGCAGAACAAAUUAUCAGUGCCGAAAUCAGUUUAAUUCGGUCUGUUGUUUCGCGUCCCGAUCCAAAUCCUCGGAUAUAAAUAACGGGUAAAAAUUCAUCUAACCCUCGAGAAUUUACCAAAUCAAAUCCUAUCCAAAUAUUAUGGUCAAUCACAUUUUGGUUCGACUCUUUGAUACAUCUUUUAGACCAUAAUUCUAGAACCUAUGUUUAUCCAUACGUGAUGUUGUUAAAGAAAAGAAGAAAACCUUUAUUUACUUUUCUCUCCCACGCUAGCUCUUGGAAAUUUCGCGAGUGCUCAUGCUUCUCAUUUUUUUUAAUCCCAUACCGCUUGCUCCUCUAUACUACGAUCACAUUCAUUUUAUCUGGAAUUAUCACGUUGGUUUAUGUGGCAUUCUUAUCCAGCGUUCACUACUUGGAAAGUUGUACGUAAUAUCCAUUCCCAACCGUCUAAAUGCUUCUAGCCGUAUUCCAUAAUCUCAGCUCGUUGUUAUCUCUUGCCGUGUCUCAUCUCUAAAAAAAUCUUCAUCGCCAAUAUCUCACCGCCCUUCUGCUGCGUUGAUUUUUGUUGGUCUACAUUCUUAUCCCUACCGCCCUUGCCUUGCUCUAUCUUUCCAUGUCGAGUCACGUACACGUCCCCUGCUUGCUUGUAUCUUCAUCACGACGCUCACAUCUGCCUUAUCUCCUAUCGCUGCCACGACCUCAAGCCGCCGAACACCAUUGCACCUGCCUGCUCGAGUCGCUUUCAACUCAUGGCCAUGGAGUCCGCCUCAGCCUCUGUCUUCCACUCGGUUGCUCCUCUGCUGGCUACGGAGAGCCUUCACUAGCCAUGGCCGCGCCCUCUCUGGUACCGAGCUCGCCCAUACCGAGCUCCCUCAGCGUCCCGUCCAUGGUCCUCCUCCACUCGCCCUGGCCAUGCUUGCCUGCCGCGCCACACUGAGUUUCUGGAGUCUGGCACGGUGAACUGGGGAGAGAAGCAGCCAAGCAGCUCCCUCACGCCGCGGCUUCCUCCUUCAGCUCGGCGCUCAUCUCCUUCUCUGCUCGGACCGUGCCCAGCUCCGCGCGUCGCAGUUCGCCCCAGCUCGUUGUCCUGCCUCCCUUGCUCACUGCGUCGGUCACUCGCUGAUGCUCCAACUCAUCAGUCGUUGUUGUCCCAUCCGCGUCAGCACGCGACUGUGGUCGUGUUCAUCGAAUUCGCCAACGCUUUGUUGCCGAUUCGACUGUCGUCGCUUCGCGUGUUGUCGAGCCCAUCGAGCCUCGUUCUUCUCUGCUCGCUCUCGUCGAACACCGAAUUCCGGAUAUUAGACAAAAAUAAGCGAGACCCCUGUGUAUCGCUUAUCAAGUACUCGGUUGAAGACUUCAAUCUAAGAUCAUCGUCAUUCUGUGCGUCGUCAAGAAAUCCCAAGAGUCGGGUGAAGACGGAGCCAACAGCAUAGUGUUCACCAAGUGCGCGACAAAAAGCUCGAACCAGUCGUCAAUCAUCUCGACAACAACCACAUCCAAGACUCCACCGUCCAAUAAUUUUGUCUCAUCGCCCUUCAAAUCCGAGUCCUCGUCCAUAGGAUCGUCGUUGACCUCGCAACUUCAGCUCGAGUUAAUUAUGGUAAGUUGAUUUAUUAUUCUCGUCAACUAAAUAAAUGAUAGGAUUAAAUAGAAGAAUUGAUUGCGAUGAUUCUCUUGUUCAUUACUCGAUGUAGAGAUUAAGUUGAAUUUUAGGGUUGUGCGAUAAGUAUAUUGGUAGAUAUAUAUAUAAUACACAGGUUAACCGGUAAAUUAGUUUAGAAAGUUAAUAAAAGUUAUUCUAUCAAAUUUUAUAAGUAUUAGAUGUCCAAAAAUUGUGAAGUUAAAAGUUAUAAGUCGUUUAGUGUGUUCUCUAGACUAGGUCUGAUAAUUUAUGUGUUGGUCGAUCUCAUGCUUGGAAUGGAUGUUGAUUGCUACCUCGACUGUUUAGCUAGGUUGUAAGAACAUGAUUGUCGUAAGUAACAAUAUAUCGAUAACUAGUGUACGUAAUGUCUCGUCAUUAAAUAGGUUAUUUCUCUUUUGCGUAGCAUCGUAAUAUCUAGUGUUAUUGUUCUUUAUAUGCAUUCAUAUGCAUAAUGCAUUUCAUUCAGGACGAUAAAUAAUCGCGUGAUGUGGAAGAAAAACCAAGUUGACCCCAAACGCGGGCUAAUCUGCAAGCUGAAGCUGAAGAAUCAACCUGAAGAUGGUUAAAUCAAGCAAGUGCUCGGUCGACGAAUACUCGUCAGGCGGAUGUCACCUAACAACACUAACCUAGUGUUACUCAGGCAAGCCCCGGUG